AAAUAUGUAAUUUAUUUCUUAAAUCAAUGUUAAUCUUUUUUUAGAAAAAAAGAUUUUUGUUUUUUUUUCGCAAUAAAUCGCAAAUGAUCCAAUUCGAAAAACAUUACCAAAACGAGUCAUUAAAAUUAGAGGCCAAACCUGCAUUCAUUUCACAUAAUACUUCCAGGUUGCAAACACGAAGUUCAACGUUAAAUAUCAAUAACAAUAUAUAAUUUAUGUAACAUCAUCAACAUUUAUUUAAAAUUAGAAAUGAUUACCAACCUGUUUCACAGACUUUUUAUUUAGAAAUGUCAGAGUGUGGAAGUUUUUGUUUAAGUUUAAAGUUAAAUCGCUUGUUCUUUAACAGAAAAUAUCAAACUUUUGUUGGGUAAUUAUAUCUUCUAAAAAAUCUUUGUUAAGAUUGUUUUCUUCGUUGCUAAUGCAACCUAAGACGUAAAACAGGCAUGAUAAAAAGCUUACAUGACUUGAGAUCGUCAAAGCAGUCAAACAACCCUGUGCUCCAGUCUCUGUGGCCCUCGAUCCCUGUAACCAUCAGAGGAUAACCAGAACCGGCUGUCGGCUGCUGGACUACAACAGUGGUCGACAUUUUCUAGAGCCUUUGACGAUAAGUCUGUUUUGAAAAUCAGGAAUCU